rnacentral:rRNA from 1 species
UUGAUCCUGGCUCAGGACGAACGCUGGCGGCGUGCCUAAUACAUGCAAGUCGAGCGAGCCGAACUAAUUGAUUACCUUCGGGUAUGAAGUUAGGGAAGCGAGCGGCGGAUGGGUGAGUAACACGUGGGUAACCUACCCUAUAGUCUGGGAUACCACUUGGAAACAGGUGCUAAUACCGGAUAAAAGGAGAGAUCACAUGAUUUCUUUUUGAAAGGCGGCGUAAGCUGUCGCUAAAGGAUGGACCCGCGGUGCAUUAGCUAGUUGGUAAGGUAACGGCUUACCAAGGCAACGAUGCAUAGCCGAGUUGAGAGACUGAUCGGCCACAUUGGGACUGAGACACGGCCCAAACUCCUACGGGAGGCAGCAGUAGGGAAUCUUCACACAAUUGGAACGCCAAGUCUGAUGGAGCAACGCCGCGUGAGGUGAAGAGGUUUUCGGAUCGUAAAGCUCUGUUGUUGGUGAAGAAAAGAUAGUGAGAGUAACUGCUCAUUAUUUGCCGGUAAUCAACCAGAAAGUCACGGCUAACUACGUGCCAGCAGCCGCGGUAAUACGUAGGUGGCAAGCGUUGUCCGGGAUUUAUUGGGCGUAAAGCGAGCGCAGGCGGAAAGAUAAGUCAGAUGUGAAAGCCCUCGGCUUAACCGAGGAAUAGCAUCGGAAACUGUCUUUCUUGAGUGCAGAAGAGGAGAGUGGAACUCCAUGUGUAGCGGUGGAAUGCGUAGAUAUAUGGAAGAACACCAGUGGCGAAGGCGGCUCUCUGGUCUGUAACUGACGCUGAGGCUCGAAAGCAUGGGUAGCGAACAGGAUUAGAUACCCUGGUAGUCCAUGCUGUAAACAAUGAGUGCUAAGUGUUGGGAGGUUUCCGCCUCUCAGUGCUGCAGCUAACGCAUUAAGCACUCCGCCUGGGGAGUACGACCGCAAGGUUAAAACUCAAAGGAAUUGACGGGGGCCCGCACAAGCGGUGGAGCAUGUGGUUUAAUUCGAAGCAACGCGAAGAACCUUACCAGGUCUUGACAUCUAGUGCCAACCUAAGAGAUUAGGCGUUCCCUUCGGGACACUAAGACAGGUGGUGCAUGGCUGUCGUCAGCUCGUGUCGUGAGAUGUUGGUUAAGUUCCCGCAACGAGCGCACCUAUUAUAGUUGCCAGCAUUAAGUUGGGCACUCUAAUGAGACCUGCCGGUGACAACGGAGGAAGGUGGGGAUGACGUCAAGUCAUCAUGCCCCUUAUGACCUGGGCUACACACGUGCUACAAUGGGCAGUACAACGAGGAGCGAACUUGUGAAGGCAAGCGAAUCUCUGAAAGCUGUUCUCAGUUCGGACUGUAGGCUGCAACUCGCCUACACGGAGCUGGAAUCGCUAGUAAUCGCGGAUCAGCACGCCGCGGUGAAUACGUUCCC